rnacentral:rRNA from 1 species
CCUACGGGGGGCAGCAGUGGGGAAUCUUGCGCAAUGGGCGAAAGCCUGACGCAGCAACGCCGCGUGCGGGAUGAAGGCCUUCGGGUUGUAAACCGCUUUCAGUGGGGACGAACCAAGACGGUACCCACAGAAGAAGCCCCGGCCAACUACGUGCCAGCAGCCGCGGUAACACGUAGGGGGCAAGCGUUGUCCGGAUUUAUUGGGCGUAAAGAGCUCGUAGGUGGCUCAGUAAGUCGGGUGUGAAACCUCCAGGCUCAACCUGGAGACGCCACCCUAUACUGCUGUGGCUAGAGUCCAGUAGGGGAGCAUGGAAUUCCUGGUGUAGCGGUGAAAUGCGCAGAUAUCAGGAGGAACACCAGUGGCGAAGGCGGUGCUCUGGGCUGGAACUGACACUGAGGAGCGAAAGCGUGGGGAGCGAACAGGAUUAGAUACCCGAGUAGUC